rnacentral:tRNA from 1 species
AGCCCUGAGGUGUUCAACAUACUACCUUGCUAUCUGGAUAGGUAGACUAAUCCCUGCCGGGGCUU